rnacentral:rRNA from 1 species
ACACAUGCAAGUCGAGCGGAACGAGUUAACUGAACCUUCGGGGAACGUUAACGGCGUCGAGCGGCGGACGGGUGAGUAAUGCCUAGGAAAUUGCCCUGAUGUGGGGGAUAACCAUUGGAAACGAUGGCUAAUACCGCAUAAUGCCUUCGGGCCAAAGAGGGGGACCUUCGGGCCUCUCGCGUCAGGAUAUGCCUAGGUGGGAUUAGCUAGUUGGUGAGGUAAGGGCUCACCAAGGCGACGAUCCCUAGCUGGUCUGAGAGGAUGAUCAGCCACACUGGAACUGAGACACGGUCCAGACUCCUACGGGAGGCAGCAGUGGGGAAUAUUGCACAAUGGGCGCAAGCCUGAUGCAGCCAUGCCGCGUGUAUGAAGAAGGCCUUCGGGUUGUAAAGUACUUUCAGCAGUGAGGAAGGUGGUGUAGUUAAUAACUGCAUCAUUUGACGUUAGCUGCAGAAGAAGCACCGGCUAACUCCGUGCCAGCAGCCGCGGUAAUACGGAGGGUGCGAGCGUUAAUCGGAAUUACUGGGCGUAAAGCGCAUGCAGGUGGUUUGUUAAGUCAGAUGUGAAAGCCCGGGGCUCAACCUCGGAAUUGCAUUUGAAACUGGCAGACUAGAGUACUGUAGAGGGGGGUAGAAUUUCAGGUGUAGCGGUGAAAUGCGUAGAGAUCUGAAGGAAUACCGGUGGCGAAGGCGGCCCCCUGGACAGAUACUGACACUCAGAUGCGAAAGCGUGGGGAGCAAACAGGAUUAGAUACCCUGGUAGUCCACGCCGUAAACGAUGUCUACUUGGAGGUUGUGGCCUUGAGCCGUGGCUUUCGGAGCUAACGCGUUAAGUAGACCGCCUGGGGAGUACGGUCGCAAGAUUAAAACUCAAAUGAAUUGACGGGGGCCCGCACAAGCGGUGGAGCAUGUGGUUUAAUUCGAUGCAACGCGAAGAACCUUACCUACUCUUGACAUCCAGAGAAGCCAGUAGAGAUACAGGUGUGCCUUCGGGAACUCUGAGACAGGUGCUGCAUGGCUGUCGUCAGCUCGUGUUGUGAAAUGUUGGGUUAAGUCCCGCAACGAGCGCAACCCUUAUCCUUGUUUGCCAGCGAGUAAUGUCGGGAACUCCAGGGAGACUGCCGGUGAUAAACCGGAGGAAGGUGGGGACGACGUCAAGUCAUCAUGGCCCUUACGAGUAGGGCUACACACGUGCUACAAUGGCGCAUACAGAGGGCAGCAAGCUAGCGAUAGUGAGCGAAUCCCAAAAAGUGCGUCGUAGUCCGGAUUGGAGUCUGCAACUCGACUCCAUGAAGUCGGAAUCGCUAGUAAUCGUGGAUCAGAAUGCCACGGUGAAUACGUUCCCGGGCCUUGUACACACCGCCCGUCACACCAUGGGAGUGGGCUGCAAAAGAAGUAGGUAG